UUUUUUUUUUUUUUUUUGUUUAAGUUAACUGGAACGGGUUUCCAUUUCUUGUAAGCAUACGCUCAACUGGUCCAGGUGCCGGCUCCACUUAUUAGGCACUCAACCUCGAUACAAUGUAUCACGACUAAUUUUAUAAACCUCUUCCAUCACCCUAAGGUGACUCCAAGUUCUUCCAAGGAUAGUGGCUCUCAGCCACCAUGACACAGGUCCCCAGGGUACUGUGAUCGGCAAUGAGGCACAUCAUUACUAAUUUUCACUUUAUAAUGAAGUCCUCAAGUUGGCUAGUACUUUAUGACUGUCCCCACCCCCUGAGCAGAUUCAAGGUCAUUGGUAAUAAUGCCAGCUUGCUUUCCUACCUGCAUUCUUAUGGAAGAGAAGUGUGAUAAAGCCAGCACUCAGGGAACUGUGCACACCCAGGGCAUGGCCAGAGAGAACUGUAAGUCAUGUAAAAAUCGUCCCUACAGUUUGUCAAGGUAGGUUGAAAAGUUAAGACUCACAAAGAUUGUGUCAUUCAAAAAUUCUAAACUUAUCACAGGGGCUCAGGAAACCGCUGAUGGUGCUAGUGCUGCAGAGAGGAACCUUUUUACUCCUUAACCCUGACCCCCUGCCGCUGGCCAUUAGGCCAAUGUCUAUGUGUGUGCUAGGCCUUAACUGCUAAAAAUAUUUAUCUUGAGCUGGAACAUAGGCAAAGCUUGGGUAAAACCAAAGAAUGAGGUCUAACAAAAGUAAAGACAAUGCAAUUAACACGUGAUUUUUUUGGUUGUAUCCCCUUCUCAUGGGAAAUGCUUCUUCCUCAGCCUAUAGCAUCUUGGUAGGUCAGGGAUUGGUCCUGAGGUGGACAGUGACUAGAGAGGUUGAAAUAAUAGGAAGUCUUUUUUUUUUUUUUUUCCCCCCCGCUGCAGCCAUGGCAUGUGGAAGUUCCUGGGCCAGGGACAGAACCUGUACCACAGCAGGAACCUGAGCCACUGUAGAGACCAUGCUGGAUUCCACUGAGCCAAGAGAACUCUGAACAGGAGUCUUCUUAAAUCUCAACUAACAGAUCCCUGCAAGACUGGGGCUACAAGGACCUGUCUUUCCCAGAGAAGCUACUACGUAGUGCGAUGCUAAGUACCACGUGAAUGUGUGUGGUCUCGAUAAAUUCUAUGACCCAGGCAAAUAUCUAUUAAAAAGCCCACUUUACUGAUGAUCAAACCAGGACUAUAGUUGUCCAAAGUCACCUCUGUUUAUGUCUUUCUGGUUUGCUCUCCUCCAAGUGGGUAUGUCAUCUUUUAUAUGAAUUUUAGCCAAUCUGAAACUGCUUCUCCAUGGGACCCUGCUGGGGCAAGUCUUUCUGCAUCGAUAAUCCCUAAGUGCUUCUAAGCUUGGGGGUCAAGAGAACCUCAUUUAUGAAGGGCUUGAUAAAUAUUUUAGCUUUUUCAGGCCACAAAAGCUGUUAAAGCUACUCAAAUCUGCCACUGUAAAGUGAAAGCAGCCAUAGACAACAUGUAAAUGGCUACGUGUAGCUGUGUUCCCACAAAACUUUAUUUACAAAGCAGGCAGUGGGAGAAGGUAGGAUUUUGCCUGUGAGUAAUAAUUCACUGUUUUAAGCUAUAAAUCACCAUGCACCUAUAUUGUCAAUUUCUUACGGGGAAAUACCAUUCGUUAACUAUUUCAUGCUGUUUUAUAAUUUCCCUAUGACUAAACAGACACACAGUAUGUAUGUGACUAAGUGCCAGAUGCAUACAAAGUACACCAAUGCACCCUGUACACAUACAAAGUACACCAAUGUAUUAACUGAUCGAGUUGAUAAAGAUGGUAACUCAUGAUGAUUUUCAGUGUUUUGAUUCUUGAAGAUGAGGGUGUUAAGUAUCCCACUUGCAAGAAAUGAAAGAAUGUGAAGGUAAGCAGGCCAUGCUAGAGGGUGGGCAUAUGUCCUUUGAAAAGAACUUUUAAGCUAGUGAGCAACAGGCUACUUUGGCUGCACAGAUAUAAGUGUUAGGGACUAUCAGACAGUAGUAGGAAAAUGCUCUACCAAAAAGAUGUUCUCUGAGAUAUGUAAAGAUGACUAGAUCACCUCAUUCUCAGGAGGAAAAUAGGUACAUACAUUGCCAUUAAUUUUCCAAAUAGUAUUUAAAAAUUAAAUUGCUUUCUGAAUUAUUAAAUGUUUCAAAUAUAAAUUAAUAUCCCUGAGAUAUUUGCUACAAAUAUGAAUUAGUUCUUAAAAUACUAUAUUUAAAAAAAAAGAGCAUAAUCUUAGACACACCUUUUCAACUCUAGUUUCCAUUUCCAAAGGAGGCAGUGCUUUGAUUACAAGUUCCAACAUCACUCUAUAGAAAUAUAAGGGAGUUGUCCCAUGUCUUGCAGAAUUAGGAAACCAGGGAACAAGGGAAGACAGUUUUACGACCAUCAUUUUUAUGAGGUUACUUAUAACUAGAACCAAGUGAAAGUUAAUUUCCAAGCCUAUACACACUUAGGUAUGAUAAGUUGCCUGUAAUUCCCACUUAACAAAAUGCAUUUUAUUUCUAUUACAAAGAAUAAUUUGCCCUUGAGGGACAAAGCAGUCUUGUAUGUAACACAUAAAACAGAACCAUGGACUUCCCAAGGUCGUCCAUACUCCUCUUGCAUCCAAAAUGGUCCCUAGCCUACACCCAAACACUCAAGCAUCUCUGCAGAAGAUUGGGGGAAAGGAAGACAAAGCAAGAGAAAAAAAAGGAAUGGAAAAAGGUGAAGAAGGGAGGGAGGGGCAAAAAAAGAGGAAAGAAAGAAAAGAGGUAACACGAUGUAAUGCAUAGCACCGUAACUGUAGCUGGAAGAUGAGUACAUUCUGGGGAUCUGACACAUAGCAUCGUGUGUAGAGUGAACAACACUGUAUUACACACUUGAAAAGUGCUAUGAGAGCAGCUCUGAAACGGUCUCACCACAAAAAAAGAAAUAGUAAUUAUGGAUUGUGAUAGAUGGGGGUUAGCUAAGCGUAAGGGGAUAAUAUUUUACAAUAUAUAAAUGAAUUAAAAAUUUGUACACCUUAAACACAGUAUUAUUUGCCAACAGCAUCUCAAUAAAUCUGGGGGAAAGACACUGUAUGAUACACAUGAAGGUUGUUAAGAGAAUAGAUCUUGGAGUUCCCGUCAUGGCGCAGGGGUUAAUGAAUCCGACUAGAAACCAUGAGGUUGCGGGUUUGAUCCCUGGCCUUGCUCAGUGGGUUAAGGAUCCUGCGUUGCCGUGAGCUGUGGUGUAGGUUGCAGACGCAGCUCAGAUCCCACAUAGUUGUGGCUCUGGUGUAGGCCGGUGGCUACGACUCCGAUUAGACUCCUAGCCUGGGAAUCUCCAUAUGCUGUGGGAGCGGCCCUAGAAAAGGCAAAAAAAAAAAAAAAAAAAAAAUGAAAAAAAGAAUAGAUCUUGUAUGUUCUCACCACGCACCAUUUAGCAUUUUAAUGAUUUUAUAAUGUGUACAUAUAACAAAUCAUUAGAUAAUAUACUCAGACUUCCACAAAGUUAUAUAUCGUGUAGGUGUGUGAUAGUUUUUUUAAAAGAGAGAAAAUAUAAUUUUUUUAAAAGGAAGAAAACAAGAAAGUUCCUGUGUGGCACAGCUAGUUAAAGAGCUGGCAUUACUGCACCUGUGGUACAGGACGUAAUGGCAGCACAGGGUUUGAUCCCCUGGCCCAGGAAUUUCUACAUGCCGUGGGUGCAGCUAAAAAAAAAAAAAAAAAAGUCAGGCGGAAGUUCCCAUCAUGGCUCAGUGGUUAAUAAACCUGACUAGUAUCCAUGAGGAUGUAGGUUCAAUCCCCGGCCUCACUCAGUGGAUUAAGGAUCCAGUGUUACCAUGAGUUGUGUUGUGGUAUAGGUCACAAACACAACUCAGAUCUGGCAUUGCUGUGGCUGGCUGCUGAAGCUGUGAUUCAACCCCUAUCCUUGGAAUUUCCAUAUGCUGUGGGUGCAGCCCUUAAAAAAAAAAAAAAAAAAAAAAAGAGGUAAAACAGAUGAAAGAAAUAAAAAGGGAAGAAGAAUUAAACAGCAAAAUGGGCUUACUCUGAUGUAAGAAUGCUGUAGUGUACACAGAAGUAGAAAUACAACAUUGUACACAUGAAAUCUAUAUUAUCAAUCACUGUUCCCUCGGGGUGGGGGGGGGAGCCUAAGACUAAAGAAAGAAGGACUAUCUUUGUAGGCUUAGCAAAAAAUAAAAUAUUUAAAAAUUAAAGAAAAAAAUAAGCUGACUUCCCGCCUUGGGGAUUCCCAGAGUCUUUGCAUCUAGUCCUAAGCUCACCAUCUUUUCACAUUCAUGACACCAGCUACACCUCUACGUGUACAUCUUCCAAAUCUCUCUUCUCUUUCACUGAUAUCGUUCCUAGUCUCUCAUUUGGAGUCUCUGUCAGCUGAACAUCUCCCUUCAGAAGAGCUACCUUCAUGUCAAACCCUAAUUGGAGCAGACAAAAACUCAUCUUCUCUGCUAACCAGCUGCCUGCCCCAUGUCGGUUCAUGAUGGAAACCUCAGGGAUUUGGCUGAGGUUUGGCCAGAUAUUUGGGAUAUUUGGCUCCACAUCCCUCAACAAUCAAGACUCUUCCUUCAUAAGAUGUUUUUGUGUCUAUUCCUCACUUUUCAGCCCUUCUGACAACAUUCAACCUCUUAGGCACUCACCCAUUUCUAGGGUAAUGUUUCCACUCCUCUUUCAUCACCUUUCCUUCUGCACCCCCCCCCAUUUCAAACCAUUGGGCUAAAUGAAUCUUACCCAAAAAUCCUUCUACGCCAUCAGUCUCCUGUUCAGAAAAAUCCUUUGAGGCCCCAUCUAUAUACAGAACAGAGUCUAAGCUCUGGGGUCUGGUAUCAUAGGGCUUUUUCCCCAUCUGUUUCCAACCCACCUUUCCCGGCUCCCCAGGAUGGAAACCCUCCCUGCCUCAAGUUAGUCCUUUAGUUAUUCUGUUCCCCAGUCGCACAUUCCCAUCUAAGCAGUGAUGAGCUAGACACUUUCAUGACUAGACAAUAUUUACGGUGGAAGCUGUUAGCUACACAAAGUUCAAAGCUAUCAGGGAUGCAUUAGUUCUAAGGGUGUGAAGACCUAAGAGAAGCCAGAAAUAAAGAUGAAUUCUUUCUCCUCUUCGAGGCCUUGGUUAAGGACAGAAGAAUUCCAUAAAAACUUUCAGGAAAGGGUGGUGAAGGACCCAAGGACUCACUGCAGGGCCAAAAGAAGCAGUAGUUUGGGUAUAGGGGAGAGCACUACAGCAGUGCCUGCAUCCAGGGUUCCUGGGUAAGAGUUACACUUACUUAUAACCAAGAACAGGCAAACCACAAUGGCUUCCUCUAUUUUGGGUUUUCCAAGCAUAUGAUGUUUAGAUUGGUCAGGAAUAAAAGUCGGUCAAAGAGAGUCGAGACUUACUCAGGAGAUUUUACCUCAGGCCACGGGCCAUGAAAAAUCACACUGAAAUUCAAGUCCUUGAGGUCCCCUCUAGAGAACCAAGGAGACAAGGAGAGCAUGACACAGAGAUGGCCAAGAACCAUGCAGGCUGAGUGCUGUGCCCUCCUUCUCCCUCCCGACUCCUCAUUUCCAGAAGGAACAUGGACAAAGGUCCGUGGUAGUUUCCACCUCACUAUACCACGGCUCCCUCUGCAUACCCUGCAAACCCUGUCCCCCAAACAUUCUAGUCACUCAUAUUGGAAAUGUUAGGGAAAAAGAAGUUCAAUUUAUGAGAAUGUGCUUUGCGCCAGACCUUGUGCUAGAUGCUUCCUCAUAUAACAAAGAGAAGGAAUGAAAAAAAGGGAAAAAGGCAGAGGAAGGACCAGAAGGAGAAUGAAAGCCAACGGCAGGUGUUAGGUGAAUGAGCGCCUUGGAUCUCAAAUGCUUUAAUGCGAGCCCCAACACACCUCCCUGGAGCAACUGAUAAAAUGCAGAUGCCCAAGCCUUAGUCAGAGAGAGAUAAAUCACUAGACUGGCAUGAAGCCCCAAACCAUAUAAAUAUAUAUACACAUGCACACAUAUACAAAUAGACAUGCUAUACAUUUUUAAAGAAGCAGCACAGGCAGUUCUAAACAACACAUAGGAUCAGGCUGUCUACUACUUCCUCUAGAUUCCAUAUUCUAUCUCUCCUAAGAAUUUUUUUUUUUUUUUUUGUGCCUUGUUUUGGUCUUUUU
rnacentral:lncRNA from 1 species